rnacentral:rRNA from 1 species
CUGAACGCUGGCGGCGUGGCUAAGACAUGCAAGUCGCACGGGGCGGUAGCAAUACCGCCCAGUGGCGAACGGGUGAGUAAUGAAUCGCUAACGUGCCCGGGACGCGGGGAUAGCCGCCCGAAAGGGCGGGUAAUACCCGGCGUGACCGCCGAGGGGCAUCCCUUGGCUUUCGAAGGAGCAAUCCGGUCUCGGAGCGGGCGAUUUCGUAUCAGCUAGUUGGUGAGGGUAACGGCCCACCAAGGCGACGACGCGUAGCCGGACUGAGAGGUCGGCCGGCCACAUCGGGACUGAGACACUGCCCGGACUCCUACGGGGGGCUGCAGUAACGAAUCUUCCGCAAUGCACGAAAGUGUGACGGAGCGACGCCGCGUGUAGGACCAAGCCCUUCGGGGUGUAAACUACUGUCAGGGGCAGCCAAGUUCUGAGGCGCCCCAGA